rnacentral:rRNA from 1 species
GACAGAGGGUGCAAACGUUGUUCGGAAUUACUGGGCGUAAAGCGUGCGCAGGCGGUUUUGUAAGCCGGAUGUGAAAUCCCCGGGCUUAACCUGGGAAUGGCAUUCGGGACUGCAAGGCUGGAGUGCGGCAGAGGAGACUGGAAUUCCUGGUGUAGCAGUGAAAUGCGUAGAUAUCAGGAGGAACACCGAUGGCGAAGGCAGGUCUCUGGGCUGACACUGACGCUCAUGCACGAAAGCGUGGGGAGCAAACAGG